GGAGAUUUUAAAAGCCAAUUUAAGUUUUUCAUUGCUUUUCUGGGUUUGAUCUCAAUUUCGUGUUUUGAGAUUUCAAAUUUUCAAUUUUGGUUUUUUUUGAGUGUUUCAUGUGAAAAAAAGAGUAAUCUAGAAAUGCCAGUUACAGAUUAUCAAGGAGCAUCUGCAUCUUUCACAAAUUUUGGGAGAUCUCUUUUGAGUAUGCGUCGAGAUCAGGUGCAUUCCAUGGAAGCUGCUCAUGAGGCGACUAGUCAAGAGAUUGAACUCGAAGCUUUCCAGAAGCAAGUGGCUGAGCGUUUUAAUGAAUUAUCUUCUGUUGAUUCUGAUCAAUUGCUUUCGGUUCCCUGGAUCCGUAAGCUGUUGGAUGUGUUCCUCUGUUGCCAGGAGCAAUUCAGGUCUAUUUUGUUCAACAACACUGCUAAUUUGAACAAACCUCCUAUGGACAGAUACGUCACUGAAUAUUUCGAUAGGAGUGUGAAGGGAUUGGAUGUUUGUAACGCGAUAAGGGAUGGAAUUGAGCAGAUAAAGCAGUGGCAGAAGCAGUUGGAGAUUGUUCUGUGUGCAUUGGAAAAUCAGAGGUGUGUUGGUGAAGGUCAAUUUCGUCGUGCUAAGAAGGCUUUGAUUGAUUUUGCAAUUGGUAUGCUUGAUGAGAAGGAGUCUAAUACAUCUGUGGCUCAUAGAAACAGGUCAUUUGGCCGAAACAAUACUCAGAAUGAUCAUAAAUCUUUAGGCCAUUUUAGAUCAUUGUCAUGGAGUGUUUCUAGAAAUUGGUCUGCUGCUAGGCAGCUUCAAGCAAUUGGUAACAACUUAGUUGCUCCAAAAAAUAACGAAAUUGCUGCUACCAAUGGAUUAGCGUUGGCUGUUUUCACAAUGAGUUAUGUGUUAUACUUUGUAAUGUGGGCACUUGUGGCAGCAAUACCAUGCCAGGACCGUGGGUUGCAGACCCAUUUUUAUGUGACUAGGCAAUUCGUUUGGGCCGUCCCAAUCCUAUCACUCCAUGAAAGGAUUUUGGAGGAAUCGAAGAAGAGGGAUCGUAGAAAUGCUUGUGGAUUGUUGAAGGAGAUUCAUGAGAUGGAGAAAUGCGCUCAUCAUAUGAAUGAAUUGAUCGAUACGGUUCAUUUUCCAAUCACAGAGGAAAAAGAUGGAGAAGUGAAGCUAAGAGUUCAUGAACUUGGGCUUGUUUAUGAUGGUUUAAAGAAUGGAUUAGACCCUUUAGAGCGCCAGGUUAGGGAAGUAUUCCAUCGAAUUGUUCGGAGCAGGACUGAAGGCCUCGACUCAAUCGGACGAGGGAAUCAUGAGUGAAACAAUUGUUGGGAACCCAUCAAUUUAGAAUAUGAUAUAUAGAUUUUCCCUUUUCAGUUCUUUUCUUUUUUGGACCUUUUUUAGAUGAGGGAGAAUGGUUAAUGGUGCCAGAAAAAUAAGUAGUUUAAAGAGGUGAAAAUAAUGUAUUUUCACUUCAUAUUUGUAAAGAAAUUUAGGAAAAAAAUGGAUCUUUGAUUCAUUUUUGGUGAUAAUCAUCUUGUUUGGGAUUGUAUAAUCACUUAUGACUUAAGUUUGCUUUUUU
rnacentral:misc_RNA from 1 species